rnacentral:lncRNA from 1 species
AACAACCCAUCAGAUUUUUAAGAAAAAAACCGUAACCUAGUCUUUUUUCUUGAUGUUGAUGAACACAAGACCUGAAGCUAAAAAAAAACCUAGUCAUCUUCAACUUUUAAAAACCUUCAACAACAACAAAAUCCUAGGCUGAACCCUAGACAAAAACACCCCAAGCUGCCACACCCUUGAGACUCCAUCGCCACCUUCGUCUUCGUCCGAGCGACCACCACUAUCACGCCCCAAGACCACCCUCCAUAGCCAACCAUCCAGCCCCAGCUUCCUCCACUCGAAAGCCGCCGGAAAAACCAGUCACACGAACACCCAACAGGUCCGACCAUCUCCAGCAGCCAAGCAACCGAACAAACAGCCCAGGACGACCCGCGUUGCCUCUGAUUCUGCUUCUUCAUAGCCCCGUCGACCAGUCCCCUUUUCCCGUCGUCUUCGCCGGCGACCCUUUUUCAACUCACACCAACGAACAGCUUCAAAAGACCCCAUCAUCACAUAAUCACCCAACGUCGCACCUCUCCCUCACGUCCAGCUCCGUCAACCAGCUUCCUCCGCCAAUGACCACUCUUCAGUCGAGAAACUCCAUAACUAGCCUGUCGUCCUUCAUCUCCUCCAUCAAAAACCGCCGGAAAAUGCUCACCUCGACCACCAGCAUCCACCCUAACUCCCUUCUCCCAAACCCGUCGUCACAAAACCAACAGUAGCGGCGUGAGGAGCAGUAGUAGCGUGAAAGCUACAGCGAAACUGUUCGAAACGGAAAGGGGACAGGAUUUUGGAACAAACAUAGGGGAACAACUAGAUUUCAGACUUUGCCUUCCAAAAAUGGAAUUUGUUUGAGGUGGUUUGAGGCCCGUUUGAGGUCGUCGUUCGGGUUUCCGUUGCCGCGCGUGGUUCAAUCCUUGUUUCUUCUGAUCGUAUUUGUAUUUGAUUAUUACUUAAAUUUGCUUUUGCACUUAGUAAGUAGGUCUAUCAUAUUACUGUUUGUGUUUGCUUCUAUUAUUAGAAUUUGUGUCUCAUAAGCA